UUUAAAAUGAGAGUUUGAUCCUGGCUCAGGACGAACGCUGGCGGCGUGCCUAAUACAUGCAAGUCGAGCGAGCGGAACUAACAGAUUUACUUCGGUAAUGACGUUAGGAAAGCGAGCGGCGGAUGGGUGAGUAACACGUGGGGAACCUGCCCCAUAGUCUGGGAUACCACUUGGAAACAGGUGCUAAUACCGGAUAAGAAAGCAGAUCGCAUGAUCAGCUUUUAAAAGGCGGCGUAAGCUGUCGCUAUGGGAUGGCCCCGCGGUGCAUUAGCUAGUUGGUAAGGUAAAGGCUUACCAAGGCGAUGAUGCAUAGCCGAGUUGAGAGACUGAUCGGCCACAUUGGGACUGAGACACGGCCCAAACUCCUACGGGAGGCAGCAGUAGGGAAUCUUCCACAAUGGACGCAAGUCUGAUGGAGCAACGCCGCGUGAGUGAAGAAGGUUUUCGGAUCGUAAAGCUCUGUUGUUGGUGAAGAAGGAUAGAGGUAGUAACUGGCCUUUAUUUGACGGUAAUCAACCAGAAAGUCACGGCUAACUACGUGCCAGCAGCCGCGGUAAUACGUAGGUGGCAAGCGUUGUCCGGAUUUAUUGGGCGUAAAGCGAGCGCAGGCGGAAGAAUAAGUCUGAUGUGAAAGCCCUCGGCUUAACCGAGGAACUGCAUCGGAAACUGUUUUUCUUGAGUGCAGAAGAGGAGAGUGGAACUCCAUGUGUAGCGGUGGAAUGCGUAGAUAUAUGGAAGAACACCAGUGGCGAAGGCGGCUCUCUGGUCUGCAACUGACGCUGAGGCUCGAAAGCAUGGGUAGUGAACAGGAUUAGAUACCCUGGUAGUCCAUGCCGUAAACGAUGAGUGCUAAGUGUUGGGAGGUUUCCGCCUCUCAGUGCUGCAGCUAACGCAUUAAGCACUCCGCCUGGGGAGUACGACCGCAAGGUUGAAACUCAAAGGAAUUGACGGGGGCCCGCACAAGCGGUGGAGCAUGUGGUUUAAUUCGAAGCAACGCGAAGAACCUUACCAGGUCUUGACAUCUAGUGCCAUUUGUAGAGAUACAAAGUUCCCUUCGGGGACGCUAAGACAGGUGGUGCAUGGCUGUCGUCAGCUCGUGUCGUGAGAUGUUGGGUUAAGUCCCGCAACGAGCGCAACCCUUGUUAUUAGUUGCCAGCAUUAAGUUGGGCACUCUAAUGAGACUGCCGGUGACAAACCGGAGGAAGGUGGGGAUGACGUCAAGUCAUCAUGCCCCUUAUGACCUGGGCUACACACGUGCUACAAUGGGCAGUACAACGAGAAGCGAGCCUGCGAAGGCAAGCGAAUCUCUGAAAGCUGUUCUCAGUUCGGACUGCAGUCUGCAACUCGACUGCACGAAGCUGGAAUCGCUAGUAAUCGCGGAUCAGCACGCCGCGGUGAAUACGUUCCCGGGCCUUGUACACACCGCCCGUCACACCAUGGGAGUCUGCAAUGCCCAAAGCCGGUGGCCUAACCUUCGGGAAGGAGCCGUCUAAGGCAGGGCAGAUGACUGGGGUGAAGUCGUAACAAGGUAGCCGUAGGAGAACCUGCGGCUGGAUCACCUCCUUUCUAAGGAA
rnacentral:rRNA from 1 species